AUUGAACGCUGGCGGCAGGCCUAACACAUGCAAGUCGAGCGGAUGAAGGGAGCUUGCUCCUGGAUUCAGCGGCGGACGGGUGAGUAAUGCCUAGGAAUCUGCCUGGUAGUGGGGGAUAACGUCCGGAAACGGGCGCUAAUACCGCAUACGUCCUGAGGGAGAAAGUGGGGGAUCUUCGGACCUUACGCUAUCAGAUGAGCCUAGGUCGGAUUAGCUAGUUGGUGGGGUAAAGGCCUACCAAGGCGACGAUCCGUAACUGGUCUGAGAGGAUGAUCAGUCACACUGGAACUGAGACACGGUCCAGACUCCUACGGGAGGCAGCAGUGGGGAAUAUUGGACAAUGGGCGAAAGCAUGAUCCAGCCACGCCGCGUGUGUGAAGAAGGUCUUCGGAUUGUAAAGCACUUUAAGUUGGGAGGAAGGGCAGUAAGUUAAUACCUUGCUGUUUUGACGUUACCAACAGAAUAAGCACCGGCUAACUUCGUG
rnacentral:rRNA from 1 species